rnacentral:misc_RNA from 1 species
GGAAGGAUCAUUAACACGUUUCCACGUACUCUCAUCUGCUCAUCUAUUAUUUCCUCCCUUUUUGUUCACACGAGUUGGAGUGAUCGCUACCGAGACAAUUGAGUGGGUCCGAAAGGGCAGUCUUGGGUCACGACGGGGAAUUUAUUCCCUAAACAACUGAAGUGGAAAAAAGGGCUGCGAUCCUUUGCCUCUGCCUUGAGUAGUCGCCAUUCAAGACAAAAAGGGUGGAGACAAGGGGUCAAAAAUUUUUUACACACAAUUUUCACACACUUUUUGCUAGUUGACUUUUUUUAUGUUGUUUCUGCACGAGCAUUCAUUUGUCUUGUGUGGCUUCACACGUUACUUAAUUGAAACGUUAAAAAUACAACUCUUAGCAAUGGAUAUCUAGGUUCUCGCAACGAUGAAGAACGCAGCGAAAUGCGAUACGUAAUGCGAAUUGCAGAAUUCAGUGAAUCAUCAAAUCUUUGAACGCAAAUUGCGCUCUUGGGUAGCCCUAGGAGCACGCCUCUCUCAGUAUCGGUUCAACCUCAUCUCAGCAGCGUCAGCACGAAUUUAUUUAAAUUUAUUUUAAUUAUUUUUUUGCUGCGUGUUGGCUGGACAAUGAGAGUCUGCUGUGCCGCAGUCUCUUUAAAUCGAUCGAGUGGCCAUUAAACACUAGCACGCUUCGCAUUAAUUAUUUAUUUAUUUGAUGUGAAAUAAUCCGUCUCGGACUGUUGCUGAGUGAGUGACGUGAAUAUUGGCCCUUCGUGGUCUCACUUUUUACGUGUGUCUCAUCAGUGAUAAUAAAAGUCUAGGAUGGAGGAAAGUGUUACGUGAAUAGGAAUGGUCAUGUCAACGCAGUGAUCGUAAAAUAAUCAUUGCAAUCGACAAUAAUUAAUUUAUUUUAUUAUUUUAAUUAAUGUCUGAAUUUUGAUCUGAGAUGAAGCGAGACAACCCCCUGAAUUUAAGCAUAUUAAUAAGGGGAGGAAAAGAAACUAACAAGGAUUCCCUUAGUAACGGCGAGUGAAGCGGGAAGAGCUCAAUUUGAAAAUCGAUUACCUCAACGGGUCAUCGAAUUGUAGCCUAGAGACGUACUAUCAGCUGCAACCUGGGUAUAAGUUCUUUGGAAUGAGGCAUCAUAGAGGGUGAGAAUCCCGUAUAUGACCCAAAGCUUGCAGCGUACGAUGUAUGUUCUUCGAGUCGAGUUGUUUGGGAUUGCAGCUCUAAAUGGGUGGUAAGUUUCAUCUAAAGCUAAAUAAUGGCGAGAGACCGAUAGCGAACAAGUACCGUGAGGGAAAGAUGAAAAGAACUUUGAAAAGAGAGUUAAAAGUACUUGAAAUUGCUAAGAGGGAAGCGCUGACAACCAGUGCUAAUAUGUCCUUCAUCGCGUUCAGCCCCACUGGUUCGUGUCGGUAGUUGGAAACUCUGCUGGCGCGAACGAAAGGGAGGUUGGGCGUUUAGGAGGGCGUGUGAGUCAAGAUCAAUUCGAAUGGGGGGAGAAGGUAGGGAGACAGGUAGGAGAUCCGUCUCUGUUAUAGUCUUCUUACUCUACCUCUGCUUGGAUUGAGGAAGUAAUAGUGCGCUGCUUGCGGCUUAGUCCUCUUCUCCUACUGCCUUAAUAUGUCUGAUCGCAAUGCUAUCUGAUGUGUGCCGGGUUGUACUGGGUGGGGUGUACUCUAUGUGCUAUCACGAUCUUGUACGAAAUGGUUGUCAUCGACCCGUCUUGAAACACGGACCAAGGAGUCUAACAUCUAUGCGAGUAUUUGGGUGAAAAACCCGCAUGCGUAAUGAGAGUAAAGGCAGCUUCGGCUGCUGAGGUAGGAAUCCGGUCACACGGAGGCACUAUCGACCGAUCAUCACUUGUGAAAGAUUUGAGUAAGAGCAUAUCUGUUGGGACCCGAAAGAUGGUGAUCUAUGCCUGAACAGGGUGAAGCCAGGGGAAACUCUGGUGGAGGCUCGUAGCGAUACUGACGUGCAAAUCGUUCGUCUGAUUUGGGUAUAGGGGCGAAAGACUAAUCGAACCAUCUAGUAGCUGGUUCCCUC